ACGUGCUGGCUGCACAAACAAACAGGGCCCGGUGCUGUUCCCCAGGACUCACUAAAAUCUGGGCCCGCUCGGAGGGCGCCUGCAACGCCAGGCCUUGAGAAGGGGACUCGGCAAUCCACGGCAAGCUAGACCAGCUGAACUGGCCAGCUGCAUGUUCAGAGAGAGACCCUGCCUUCGGUAAAUGGAAGUGGAGAGCAUCCCGUGCACACGCAAAUGCACACAGAAUAAAGCCACCGCUUGAGCAGCUGGCCUGUGACGGGCUGGAUUGGGACGCGGCUCUCAAGGUCAUGUGAUGUCAGGACACUAAUGGAAGGUGGCCAAGCUGCUUCAUCAGUGCCAGGCUUCUUAGCUGGAUUCGGUCUGGGGCUCCCCACAGAGUGGAGCGGGGUUGAAGCUAAAGUUCCGAAAGGGACAGCAUUCUCCACAGAGGAAAAAGCCAUGGAGAGAAAAAGAAGAGAAUGGACGAGCAAGACUCAUCAGCAGGGAAAGGUGCUCGUGGCCAAACCUGCUGAUCAGAGUUCGAUACCGGGAACCCCCUGUGGUAGACGGAGAGAACCAACUUCUGCAACUUGUCCUUUGACUUCUUCAUGUGCACUGUGGCUUGGGCAUGCACACACACAACAUAAAUAAAUAAGUAAACGCUUUUUUCUUUUUCCUUUUAAA
rnacentral:lncRNA from 1 species